CCCUAUGGGGUGCAGCAGGAGGUGAAGAUGACUUCUUCCGGUUCUGACCCGAUCAGGCGCGCUGCCUGUUCGCGGCUCUUGAACAGCGCGUCCUGGGGCGCUUCUCCGAAGUGAUGGAUGCUGGCCGGAUUGCCGAAAUGCUCGCUCAGGUAAGGCGUCAUCGCCUCCACCACCUGGGGCGGGACAGGGGCCCCCGCGAUAUGGUCCAUGUAAAUCUGCGCGUUCUUCAUUUUGGUAGAGAUCCUCCCUUGCUGGUUGAUCGCCUUCCGGAUGCGCGGAGGCUGCUCGGAAUCAUUGCCCGAAACUCUCUUUUAUAAGGUCGAUGGCAUAAACGCGUCAAUAAAAAACGGAUGCACAACCUGCGGAAUUGGCGGGGGGGC
rnacentral:rRNA from 1 species